GACCUGUCCGAGCUGCCAUGAUCAUCUUACUGAAGCCGGUCGCCAGUAAACCCGGACCAGGCCCACGGCACCGCCCUCCUCCGGCGGCCCGGGCCAGGCGCCGCCGCCCUCCAGCCAAUCGGCGGGCCCCUGGGCGGUCAGGCACGCCCCAUUUUCCUCUCUCCGAUUGCGCAUAGCUGACGCACACUGCCAGUGCCGCAGAGCCCACUGUAAACGGGCUACGUCAUCCUGCCGGCCAAUCAGAGGGACCGCAGAGCCGCGUGGACGAAUCCCUCUAGGCCGGCGGGUCUUUAGUGCCCGCCGCGCUCUGACGUAAGCAUCACCGUGACCGCUCACCCUUGCUCCAGCUCAGGAACUGUUCCUCGGAUUCACCAACCGCCGUGGUUCUCUUGAGGCUGCUUCCGGUCUCGAGGCCCGCCACGUGAGCCCAGCGCAGGGGCGGGAGAAAGCCCGAGGUUCUGAGUAUCGAUUAUGUAACUGUACGAACCGAUCCCCAGGAAGUGGGCCCAUAUAACACCAUGGAGCUAAAGAAUCCUCUAGUACUUCUUCAAAGACCCCUAUCAUUUGCUCUGUUCUAGUUAGAGCUGGUAUAGCUGAAAGGAAGAGAGAUCACCCAAGCUACUGCAAGAAAAGUAGCAUCUACAGAAUGACCCUUUGGAAGCUCGGAGCUGGAGGUGGUUCUGGAUUCAAGGUGGUGGGGACUCAAGCAACAGGAGCACGUGCUUCUGCAGACAAAGUGACAGUUCCCACUGAUUUUGUUAGUAGCAACUACUUCAAGUUAAAAUUCCCAAGAGAAGGCAUCUUGACUUAGCCAAUAACUUCCUUAGUUUUAGACAGGUUGUGCUGUAUUCCAGGCCGGGUUCUAGGUAGCUGGCCAGGUACCUGUCUAUUCAGAACAACCCAGUGCUGUUCCCCUGAACAGAGUUUGGUCAGGUCAGUUGAAGCUGGAAGGGAAAGUCAGGCAUGACAGACACAUUGACCAACACAUUCAGAACAUCAUCUUGGGGUUAUCUGUUAUUUAGCUGAGUAAUGCCCAAAUUUUCAGGAAUAAAGCUCUAGUUUUGGAAGUUUAGGCAUAACUGAAAGGCAGAUAAAAGUAGAUGUUUUCCCUGGGGUACAUAGAGUCUAAAGUACCUUUGAUUUAGGAGAUUUCUGGAAAGCUCAACACUACACAUCAGGACUGUGGUCACUUUGUCCUCUGACAGCCCCUUUAUCCCUGAAAAGAUGGGCUUGAUAAAUUGUCACUGCUUUUCAAGUAGCAUAGAGCUUCAAGGCCUUUAUCUCCUACGGUAAUUUGUGCAGUACAGCUAGCAUUUACCAUUCUGAAAAAUUAUAUCUUAUUCUUUGUCUAGAAGGGCUUCCCUGAUAGCUCAGCUGGUGAAGAAUCUGCCUGCA